rnacentral:rRNA from 1 species
CGAAUGGGGGAACCCACCUGUCGUAAGGCAGGUAUCUUUAACUGAAUACAUAGGUUAAAGAGGCGAACUCGGGGAACUGAAACAUCUAAGUACCCGAAGGAAAAGAAAUCAAACGAGAUCCCCUAAGUAGCGGCGAGCGAAAGGGGGAGAGCCCGGUGUGAUUUAUCUAUUUUGUGAGUGGAAGAGUCUGGGAAGGCUCGCCAUAGAGGGUGAUAGCCCCGUACACGAAGCGAGAUAGUGGAACUAAGCACACGAACGAGUAGGUUCGGGACGGCAAGAUAUCCUGAUUGAACAUGGGGGG